rnacentral:rRNA from 1 species
UUUAUCGGAGAGUUUGAUCCUGGCUCAGGACGAACGCUGGCGGCGUGCCUAAUACAUGCAAGUCGAGCGGACAGAUGGGAGCUUGCUCCCUGAUGUUAGCGGCGGACGGGUGAGUAACACGUGGGUAACCUGCCUGUAAGACUGGGAUAACUCCGGGAAACCGGGG